rnacentral:rRNA from 1 species
GUCGAGCGGCAGCGCGGGGGCAACCCUGGCGGCGAGCGGCGAUUUGGUGAGUAAUACAUCGGAUUUUGUCCAGUUGUGGGGGAUAACCAGUCGAAAGACUGGCUAAUACCGCAUUUUAUCUUUUGAUGAAAGCGGGGGAUCGCAAGACCUCGCGCUAUUGGAGUUUUCCGGAUGUCCGAUUAGCUAGUUGGCGGGGUAUUUGCCCACCAAGGCGUUUAUCGGUAGCUGGUCUGAGAGGAUGAUCAGCCACACUGGAACUGAGAUUGAGAUGUCCAGACUCCUUUUGGAGGCAGCAGUGGGGAACUCUGGACAAUGGGGGCAACCCUGAUCCAGCCAUGCCGCGUGAGUGAAGAAGGCCUUCGGGUUGUAAAGCUCCUCCGGCGGGGUUUAAAAGGUUCGCGCUAACACCGCGGACUAAUGUUUGUACUCGCAGAAGAAGCACCGGCUAACUUUUUGCCAGCAGCCGCGGUAAUUUUUAGGGUGCAGGCGUUAAUCGGAAUUACUGGGCGUAAAGCGUGCGCAGGCGGCUCCUUAAGUCAGAUGUGAAAGCCCCGGGCUUAACCUGGGAACUGCGCUCGAAACUGGGGAGCUGGAGUGUAGAAGAGGGGGGUGGAAUUCCAGGUGUAGCAGUGAAAUGCGUAGAGAUCUGGAGGAACACCGAUGGCGAAGGCAGCCCCCUGGGCUAACACUGUUUCUCAUGCUUUAAAGCGUGGGGAGCAAACAGGAUUAGAUACCCUGGUAGUCCUUUCCCUAAU